rnacentral:rRNA from 1 species
CAGCAUGAACUUAGCUUGCUAAGUUUGAUGGCGACCGGCGCACGGGUGAGUAACACGUAUCCAACCUGCCGAUGACUCGGGGAUAGCCUUUCGAAAGAAAGAUUAAUGCCUGAUGGUAUCUUAAGCACACAUGUAAUUAAGAUUAAAGAUUUAUCGGUAAGCGAUGGGGAUGCGUUCCAUUAGGUUGUUGGCGGGGUAACGGCCCACCAAGCCUUCGAUGGAUAGGGGUUCUGAGAGGAAGGUCCCCACAUUGGAACUGAGACACGGUCCAAACUCC